CACAAACCUUUGUUAUCAUUCUUUCCUAUUCUAUUCUUAGCUAGCCUUCUGAUGAAAUCCUUUCUUCUAUUCUUUUAAUAUAGUUUUAAUGUAAUAUAUAUCAUAAAAUAAUAAAUCAAUCCUUCUGAAACAUAGAGUCACAUCCUCAUCUCUUCCCUCAUCCUGAGACCCCUGUGAACACCAUCACAGCCCUGGAAAUCCUUCCCAGCCCAUCCCAGUCUGAUUCUGUGUCCCUCAGGCACAGCCAGCUCAGGGGCACCCACCAGGGCUGGCCAGCACUAAUUCCACUUUUUACAUCCGAGCUUCUUCAAAUGAACCAUCUUAAACCUUCCACGUUCACAUGCAGAAGGAUUUUAGCAGGAUGCACCAGGGGCACAAAAAGGGACAGCUGCUUUUUCCCCUUUUCCUCCUGAUUGGCACCAAUUUUGCCAAUAAACACUCUCUAGAAUCUCACCUGAGGAGACACUGAGAAGUCCCUCAGGGAGGCAGGAAGGACCUGGCUGUGCAGCCUUGGCUCUAGUCACAAAGCCUCAGCCACUUUUCUCAUAAAGAGGCAGGAUUUGUGCUUGGAAGGAAGCCUGAAAUUAGCCUUUUCCAUGGUGGAUGGUCGAUGCAGAUCUCUCUGAGCCUGUGGGAAGUGCUCCAAUCUCCCAGCUCACAGCACCAUCCCAGAAUGCCUUUAAAAGCACAAAAAGUCAAACUUCAUCUUAGCAGCUCAGCUGCUUCAAAUAACACAGAAGGAGAUAGGGGGGAAAAAAAUAAACAAACCCAGAUUUUAACAAACAUCUUCUGCUUCGAGCCCGUUCUGGAUUUGUUGGCAAGCACAAACAGAGCCAGAAUUCAUCCUCCUGCUUGUCCUGCCCGGUGAGAAGCUGCUCCUGGGAUAAAUUCCCACAAUUACAAACUGCAUUAUUGUAAGAAAAGAUACAACUCCUUUUCAAUCCAGUAUUGAAUUGUAAUUUUUUUUUUCCAAAGAAUACAGGGGGUUUGCCCUGUGUCUGUUUGUGUCUGUGUGUGUGCAUUUGUGUGGAUGAUUGUAUUUGGGAUACACCAAGCUGCACGUGGGGUGUGUAAUAUAUAAAUAAAUAAAUAUCUGUACUAUAUAAAUGAAUACCU
rnacentral:lncRNA from 1 species